CAAUAGCGUAUAUUAAAGUUGUUGCGGUUAAAAAGCUCGUAGUUGGAUUUCAGGUCGGCAGCGGGGCCUCACCUUAACCGGGAGCGUCCUGUCUUUUGCUUUGACCUUGCCUUCUCGAAGACCUUCCGGGCCCUUUGUUGGGACCGGUCUGGAGUUCGGGACUUUUACUGUGAGAAAAUUAGAGUGUUCAAAGCAGGCUUUACGCUUGAAUACUACAGCAUGGAAUAAUGGAAUAGGAUUUUGGUUCUAUUUUGUUGGUUUCGAGGAUCAAGAUAAUGAUUAAUAGGGACAGUUGGGGGCAUUAAUAUUUCAUUGUCAGAGGUGAAAUUCUUGGAUUUAUGAAAGAUUAACUUCUGCGAAAGCAUUUGCCAAGGAUGUUUUCGUUAA
rnacentral:rRNA from 1 species